UGGGGAAUAUUGGACAAUGGGCGAAAGCCUGAUCCAGCCAUGCCGCGUGUGUGAAGAAGGUCUUCGGAUUGUAAAGCACUUUAAGUUGGGAGGAAGGGCAUUAACCUAAUACGUUAGUGUUUUGACGUUACCGACAGAAUAAGCACCGGCUAACUCUGUGCCAGCAGCCGCGGGAAUCCAGAGGGUGCAAGCGGUAAUCGGAAUUACUGGGCGUAAAGCGCGCGUAGGUGGUUUGUUAAGUUGGAUGUGAAAUCCCCGGGCUCAACCUGGGAACUGCAUUCAAAACUGACUGACUAGAGUAUGGUAGAGGGUGGUGGAAUUUCCUGUGUAGCGGUGAAAUGCGUAGAUAUAGGAAGGAACACCAGUGGCGAAGGCGACCACCUGGACUAAUACUGACACUGAGGUGCGAAAGCGUGGGGAGCAAACA
rnacentral:rRNA from 1 species